rnacentral:lncRNA from 1 species
GAAGGUAACCCAAAUGCUCUCGAUUUCUAACUGCAAGAGUUGGCAUAUUUGUCUGAGAGAAUAUAAAGCCAGUGAUUAUUUCCAAGAUCAAGUAAUUUCUUGAUCUCAAACUAGCCAGAGCAUCUGAGCCUGUAACAGUGAGGGACAGUAACACCCUGCUGUUGGGACAUCCACACCACCCAGCCCCUGGUGACACAUUCUAGACAUUGGAAACUCUUGCCAGGGUUCAUUAUGGGCCUUUGAGAAGGAAUCAGUAUUUCUGAGUACCUAUGUUUUUAACUAGACAUUCUGCUAGGCAUAUUUGUUCAUAUUCUUUUGACUCAGAUAAUGGUGUCUUAGUUUCUUUUCCUGUUGUUGUAACAAAAUAAUUCAAAGGAACAGGAUUCAGCUCAAGCGUCCAGUCCAUCCUGGCAGAGAAGCCAAGGUAUCAGGGGCUUGAAAGAGCUGGUCACAUGAUGUCCACAAUCAGGCUGCUGAGAGUGACGAAUGCUUUUGUUUAGCUCACAUUGUCCUUGUUAUAGAGCCAAGAAGCCAGUCCAGGAGAGAAUACUGCCCACUUUUAACAUCAGCCUCUCCACCUCAUUUAACCUAUAAUAAUCCCUAGCAGGUAAGUCUAGAGGCUGAGCCUGGAGGCUUAUCUCCUUAGAUGGUGCUAGAUCUUGUCACACUGACAGAGUAUACUAACCAUCACUUAGAGCGGUGAUCUGCCCAUUCACAGGAGUCACCUAGGACCAUCAGAAAACAGAUAUUUGCAUUACUAACACUAGCAAAAUUACAGAUAUGAAAUAGCAACAAAAAUAUUUUAUGGCUGAGGUCACCACAACAUGAGGAACUUUAUUAAAGCACCCCAGCAUUAAGAAAGUUAACAACUGCUGAUUUAUAAUGUCCACAAGCCUCACUCAUAAUUUUUCCUUGAAGAAUGACCCAAAUCAUAGACAUUACAUUUGGUAGCAACAAUUUUCCUGCAGAUAAAAAUGAUGGUUAUAUAUAACUUUGAAGACUACCUUGAAGCAAUAGGGUAUGCACCGAGUACAUUUUUCAUUGGUAGUUUAAUUCUAGCUACAAUGGUCACAUUUCAGCUGCUUAGUAGCCACAUGUGGCUAAUGGCUCUGGUGCAGUCCCAUCCUUGCAGAAUGUCCAACUAGACAGUGUACUACCUGGAG